rnacentral:rRNA from 1 species
UACGUAGGGGGCGAGCGUUGUUCGGAUUUACUGGGCGUAAAGGGCGCGCAGGCGGCUCAUUUUGUCAGGCGUGAAAGCCCCGGGCUUAACCUGGGAACUGCCUUUGAUACUGAGGAUCUUGAGUAUGGGAGAGGUGAGUGGAACUGCGAGUGUAGAGGUGAAAUUCGUAGAUAUUCGCAAGAACACCAGUGGCGAAGGCGGCUCACUGGCCCAUUACUGACGCUGAGGCACGAAAGCGUGGGGAGCAAACAGG